UACGGGGGGGGGCAAGCGUUGUUCGGAAUUACUGGGCGUAAAGGGCGCGUAGGCGGUGGGGUAAGUCUGGUGUGAAAUCUCGGAGCUCAACUUCGAAAUUGCACUGGAUACUGCUCUGCUAGAGGGCUGGGAGAGGAGAUCGGAAUUCACGGUGUAGCAGUGAAAUGCGCAGAUAUCGGGAGGAACACCGGUGGCGAAGGCGGUUCUCUGGGCCUUACCUGACGCUGAGGAGCGAAAGCGUGGGGAGCGAACAGG
rnacentral:rRNA from 1 species